rnacentral:rRNA from 1 species
UACGUAGGGUGCGAGCGUUGUCCGGAAUUAUUGGGUCGGUAAAGAGCUUGUAGGCGGUUUGUCGCGUCUGCUGUGAAAAUCCGGGGACUCAACCCCGGACUUGCAGUGGGUACGGGCAGACUAGAGUGUGGUAGGGGAGACGUGGAAUUCCUGGUGUAGCGGUGGAAUGACGCAGAUAUCAGGAGGAACACCGAUGGCGAAGGCAGGUCUCUGGGCCAACUACUGACGCUGAGAAGCGAAAGCAUGGGGAGCGAACAGGG